rnacentral:rRNA from 1 species
UACGGAGGGUGCAAGCGUUAUCCGGAUUCACUGGGUUUAAAGGGUGCGUAGGCGGGUUGGUAAGUCCGUGGUGAAAUCUCCGAGCUUAACUCGGAAACUGCCGUGGAUACUAUCAAUCUUGAAUAUUGUGGAGGUGAGCGGAAUAUGUCAUGUAGCGGUGAAAUGCUUAGAUAUGACAUAGAACACCAAUUGCGAAGGCAGCUCGCUACACAUAUAUUGACUCUGAGGCACGAAAGCGUGGGGAUCAAACAGG